AUUGAACGCUGGCGGCAUGCCUUACACAUGCAAGUCGAACGGCAGCAUGGGUGCUUGCACCUGGUGGCGAGUGGCGAACGGGUGAGUAAUACAUCGGAACGUACCUUAUCGUGGGGGAUAACGCAGCGAAAGCUGUGCUAAUACCGCAUACGCCCUGAGGGGGAAAGCGGGGGAUCGAAAGACCUCGCGCGAUUAGAGCGGCCGAUGCCUGAUUAGCUUGUUGGUGGGGUAAAAGCCCACCAAGGCGACGAUCAGUAGCUGGUCUGAGAGGACGAUCAGCCACACUGGGACUGAGACACGGCCCAGACUCCUACGGGAGGCGGCAGUGGGGAAUUUUGGACAAUGGGGGCAACCCUGAUCCAGCAAUGCCGCGUGAGUGAAGAAGGCCUUCGGGUUGUAAAGCUCUUUUGUCAGGGAAGAAACACCGGCUCUAACACAGUCCGGGAAUGACGGUACCUGAAGAAUAAGCACCGGCUAACUACGUGCCAGCAGCCGCGGUAA
rnacentral:rRNA from 1 species